CCUACGGGAGGCAGCAGUGGGGGAUAUUGCUCAAUGGGGGGAACCCUGAUGCAGCGACGCCGCGUGGAGGAAGAAGCCUCUAGGAGCGUAAAGCCCUUUUGGUAGAGAAGAAAAUGACGGUACCUGAAGAAGAAGCACCGGCUAACUCCGUGCCAGCAGCCGCGGUAAUACGGAGGGGGCAAGCGUUAUCCGGAUUUACUGGGCGUAAAGGGGGCGUAGGCGGGGUGACAGGGCAGAGGUGAAAGCCCGGAGCUUAACUCCGGAACUGCCUUUGGAACUGUUGGUCUGGAGUGUAGGAGGGGUAGGCGGAAUGCAUGGUGUAGCGGUGAAAUGCGUAGAGAUCAUGAGGAACACCGAUGGCGAAGGCGGCCUGCUGGACUGUAACUGACGUUGAGGCACGAAAGCGUGGGGAGCAAACAGGAUUAGAUACCCGUGUAGUC
rnacentral:rRNA from 1 species